rnacentral:tRNA from 1 species
GAUGGUGUAGUAGAUACGCAUAUGUAUGAUACAUCAAAUGACGCGGGUUCAAGUCCUACAU